rnacentral:rRNA from 1 species
AUUGAACGCUGGCGGAAUGCUUUACACAUGCAAGUCGAGCGGCAGCGCGGGGGCAACCCUGGCGGCGAGCGGCGAACGGGUGAGUAACAUAUCGGAACGUACCCCGUCGUGGGGGAUAACACAGCGAAAGCUGUGCUAAUACCGCAUACGACCUGAGGGUGAAAGCGGGGGAUCGCAAGACCUCGCGCGAUGGGAGCGGCCGAUAUCGGAUCAGCUUGUUGGUGAGGUAAAGGCUCACCAAGGCGACGAUCCGUAGCUGGUCUGAGAGGACGACCAGCCACACUGGAACUGAGACACGGUCCAGACUCCUACGGGAGGCAGCAGUGGGGAAUUUUGGACAAUGGGGGCAACCCUGAUCCAGCCAUUCCGCGUGAGUGAAGAAGGCCUUC